GAAAUGCGAUAAUUAAUGUGAAUUGCAGAAUUCAGUGAAUCAUCGAGUCUUUGAACGCACAUUGCGCCCCCUGGUAUUCCGGGGGGCAUGCCUGUCCGAGCGUCAUUGCUGCCCUCAAGCACGGCUUGUGUGUUGGGCUUCCGUCCCUGGCAACGGGGACGGGCCCAAAAGGCAGUGGCGGCACCAUGUCUGGUCCUCGAGCGUAUGGGGCUUUGUCACCCGCUCCCGUAGGUCCAGCUGGCAGCUAGCCUCGCAACCAAUCUUUUUAACCAGGUUGACCUCGGAUCAGGUAGGGAUACCCACUGAACUUAAGC
rnacentral:misc_RNA from 1 species